rnacentral:rRNA from 1 species
GGCUCGGGAUUAACGCUGGCGGCGUGCCUAACACAUGCAAGUCGAGCGGGAAAUUGAGAGUGAGGCUUCGGCGGAUACUCUCAAAUGGAGAGCGGCGGACGGGUGAGUAACGCGUAGGUAACCUGCCCUGCACAGAGGGAUAGCCACUGGAAACGGUGAUUAAUACCUCAUAAAACUGUUAUGCCGCAUGGCAAAACAGCCAAAGAUUUAUCGGUGCGGGAUGGAUCUGCGUCUGAUUAGCUAGUUGGUGAGGUAACGGCUCACCAAGGCGACGAUCAGUAGCCGACCUGAGUAGGGUGAUCGGCCACAUUGGAACUGAGACACGGUCCAAACUCCUACGGGAGGCAGCAGUGGGGAAUAUUGCACAAUGGGCGCAAGCCUGAUGCAAGCAACGCCGCGUGAAUGAUGAAGGCUUUUGGGUCGUAAAAUUCUGUUCUCAGGGAAGAAAAAAUGACUGUACCUGAGAGAAAGCCCCGGCUAACUACGUGCCAGCAGCUGC